rnacentral:lncRNA from 1 species
CGAUAAAGUUAAUAGAUCUGUUAUAGAUCAAACAUUUGUGAAAGUAGAGGAUACUAAAAAAUGAAUUCGUUCCUGGUUGGUACACUAUUUUUGUUGCUGACUGUUGUGUUAUGCGCCAGUGUACCUAUACCCACAGACCUAGACAACGCGGAGAAAAAAUUAAACGUGGACGCCAGAGAUGUUUCAGAAAAGCGAGAAGAGAAAAUACAUAAAUUUGAAGAUAAUGACCUCGACGCUAAAAAGCUGAUGGAUAUUUACCGCUCGAAAAAGGAGGGAAAAGCUGAAAACCUCGUCGGGGAAGGCCUGAGUAGAGAAGUAUUGGGACGCAAUGCGGCGGAUAAACACAUUGUGAAGCGACGCUACAACAAAAAUGGGAGAAUGAGGGUUCAUAUCUCGGAUCAAAAUGGCCAGCGAAUGUUCAGAAAAAGGAAAUAAAAAAUAAAGUUCUUACCCGAACCCUUACAAAAUUAGUAGCCUACAUUGAGAUUUAAAGAUUUUUUAUUAUGAAUUAUGAAAAUAAGCCUAUUACAAAGAUUCGACAUUCAAAAUAUAUAAACUCACAAUGAAGCAACAUACUUCAAAUUAUUUGUGUCUUAAUGAAGUUGCAAAUAAAACAAUAUUCAAGUGUU